rnacentral:rRNA from 1 species
UGAUCCUGGCUCAGGACGAACGCUGGCGGCGUGCCUAACACAUGCAAGUCGAACGGAACUGUUUUGAAAGAUUUCUUCGGAAUGAAUUUGAUUUAGUUUAGUGGCGGACGGGUGAGUAACGCGUGAGUAACCUGCCUUCAAGAGGGGGAUAACAUUCUGAAAAGAAUGCUAAUACCGCAUGACAUAUCGGAACCACAUGGUUCUGAUAUCAAAGAUUUUAUCGCUUGAAGAUGGACUCGCGUCCGAUUAGUUAGUUGGUGAGGUAACGGCUCACCAAGACCGCGAUCGGUAGCCGGACUGAGAGGUUGAACGGCCACAUUGGGACUGAGACACGGCCCAGACUCCUACGGGAGGCAGCAGUGGGGGAUAUUGCGCAAUGGGGGCAACCCUGACGCAGCAACGCCGCGUGAAGGAUGAAGGUUUUCGGAUUGUAAACUUCUUUUAUUAAGGACGAAAAUUGACGGUACUUAAUGAAUAAGCUCCGGCUAACUACGUGCCAGCAGCCGCGGUAAUACGUAGGGAGCAAGCGUUGUCCGGAUUUACUGGGUGUAAAGGGUGCGUAGGCGGCUUUGCAAGUCAGAUGUGAAAUCUAUGGGCUCAACCCAUAAACUGCAUUUGAAACUGUAGAGCUUGAGUGAAGUAGAGGCAGGCGGAAUUCCCCGUGUAGCGGUGAAAUGCGUAGAGAUGGGGAGGAACACCAGUGGCGAAGGCGGCCUGCUGGGCUUUAACUGACGCUGAGGCACGAAAGCGUGGGUAGCAAACAGGAUUAGAUACCCUGGUAGUCCACGCUGUAAACGAUGAUUACUAGGUGUGGGGGGUCUGACCCCUUCCGUGCCGGAGUUAACACAAUAAGUAAUCCACCUGGGGAGUACGGCCGCAAGGUUGAAACUCAA